UCUUCCUCUGCAGAAUAUGGUUUUGUAUCAACUUUCAUAACCAACGCCAAGGAGCAUUUGUUUCUGAAAUACUGUCAAUUAGUACAGCAUUUCAACAGUACUCGGGUUCCUCGAUGAAUAGAUGCGAAACGUCCACAGGUGUUGCAGUAAACUUUGUCUUCUUGCUCUGAUGGUCCUUACACGACAUCUAACAAGGGGAUCUUACGGACUGGCCCUCUUCGAUUUUCUUCAUACUGCUAGGAUCUGAAGGUAUUGCUUACAGUGUGACAGUUGUUGUUGCCAUUACAAAAAUUGGCAGUGAAAUUUAGGAGUGCUGCUGUCACUACGGCAUCCAUGCAGGACAAAGUACGUGUUUCAUGGUUUCAUGAAACACAGUCGCCUACAACGUAUCAGAAGCAGUUCCAAAGUGCCUAAGGUCAAGACCUGCCACAUGUGACGGGUGUCAAAGGAUAGUAUCAGCAGUUUAAAGAGACUAGCAGUACUGGUGACAAGGUAGGAAGCAGCAGACCUGGAUUGAGUGACAAUACUGCUGACACCGUACAUACAGCAUUUCAAAUGCAGUAGUAGGAAAUCGAUCCUUCACAUUUCCAGAGAAACAGGCAUACCACAGAACACUGUGGUGAGUAUUUUACACAAACAGCUGCAUUUCCACGAUUACAAAGUGCAGCUCCUGCCAGCUUUGCAGCCAUAUGAUAGGCCCAGAUAUGCAGUGUUUGCUAGAAAUCUAAUGAAAUGAACCAGUGAAGAGGAUGAGUACCUUAAUAAAGUAGCUUUAUCUGAUGAAGUGACUUUUCACAUCUCUGGGAAAGUAAACGGUCAUGAUGUCCAGAUCUGGGAGUCGGAGAACCCACAAACGGCAUUAUGGUACAGCAGAUCAAGGGCAGCCCAAAAGUGAAUGUGAUGGAUGUGGCUUGAAGCACAAUACAAUUUUUGAUUUUUCUUUUUUACUGAGCCUACCAUUACAACAGUUUUUCUGGACAGGUUGCUACUUUACGUUACACCUCACUUACAGACCAUGGAUAAUGUUUCAACAAGACAGUGCACCGCCAUACUCGACAUAUAUUGUUUUGAAGUUCUUGGACGAAAUAUUUCUGGACAGGUAGAUCAGUAGAGAUGGUCUAACAUCAUGCCACCCCUUCAUUAGACAAACCCCUCUUGAUUUUUUGUAGAGUUAAGUUAAGGAUAAUUCAGCUCAUCAGUUCCUCUUACGGCAAAACAAGAGAUGCUGAAGAGGUGGUGAUGGAAGAAAUGGUGGCAAAGACAUGGAGAGGAAGUGAGUAUUGCCUAGAUAUUCUAUGGGCAACAUAUGGAAUACAUGUAGAAGGGUAGCAAAAAAAAAAAAAACUUUACGAGUUAAGCUACCAUUUGCUACAAACCACAUUGUUGUAUCUAGAACAAUUCCUUAGAAAUAUUAUUUUGUAAUCAGAGAAAGUCAUUACGCACACCAUGUAUAUUGGCAGACGCCAACCAACAAUUGCCUCUCAAUGAAGAAACUUAGAACUUCAUGGUAUCUUAUAUGCCUUUUGAACUCUACCACUUUUUUUAUGUUUUUAAAUUUUAAUGUGGAGGUAGCUAUACAUGGCGUCAAAGAUGACAUAUCACACUGUAACCAUGCUGAGAUGGUUUCAAAAUGGCCUCCAAUGGUGGAAGUUGGUAAUCACGAUACACUGCAACUGUGAUUGCAAUACACAAUUACUUAUUAUCAAUACAACCGCUUAUUUGAUUUGGAAUUGCCAGUGUUCCAGAGAUAUUUUGUCACUAUUUGAAGUACUUAAUUCACAACAUGCUCAGUGUGGUAACUACCUAAUGCCAUCAUGUAACUGUUCAUCUCAAGAAAGUCAUCUAACACUUGCUUCUAUAUUACACACACACAAAACAAUGGUCUGUAAGGCAACCAGAACUUAGUUACUACUGCCAACCACCAACACCCUCUCUACUACAAUGACAUAUGACAGCUGGUUUGGACCUCAAUGGGAACACAGCCAUUGCCUUCACUUCAACCCCUGCCUGUACCUCUGGUGCCCUUCACAAUUGUUGCAGUUUACUUUCCCUGCAGGACCCUCUGGUGAGAACCUCAGCAGCAGCAGCAGCAGCAGCAGCUCCUAGUCCUUGUCGUCAUUGUCAUUUACAGUCAUGAUUUCUGACUAUUUCCAUCUUUAUGGUACGGUAAAAGGAAAAUGAAGUUGGUACCCCUGUCAAAUAGCGAUACAGAUCUAGCAGCUAUUUGCACACAACAACUGAACGUGACCAUAACUGCUGCUCUCAUCAUGUCUUGUGGGUAAUGCCUCUACUGGUGAUAUGCAUACAAAGAGUUGGGGAGUACUUUGCAGCUAACAGCCAGUUUUGGGUUUAAAGGAAAUGCUAUCUACAUCUUCUCACUACAGCAAUUAUCAGAUCCUUGUUAUGGACUUUUCUUCUUUUGGACAGCUUCUCUACUGUUUACCUGUAAUUCUGGUAUUGGAACUACUCUAGGCUCAUCACCGUUUGUGUCUGUAUCCUAUCAUCCUGAGGUUCUCCUACGCCAUAGUAAUAACUAAUAUUGAUAAGAGCAAAACAAUUUGACAGUAAUUUCAAUGAGUUCACAGAAUUACUAAAUAAUUUUAGAAUGUCCUGCUAUGACACGAAACAAACAUUACCCAGAUGCCAUUAUAAAUGCUGUAGAUACUAUUUACCAUGUGAAGAAAAUUGUUUAAAACUCAAAAUGCA